AGAAGAAGAAGAAGAAAUCGUGGAUGUCCCUGCUGCCCACCGGGCCCCUCGCAGUCACCUGCAGAGGAAUGCAGGGAUACGGAGCCCUCGCUCGCAGGAAUGCAGGGAUACGGAGCCCACGCAGGAAUUUCGGGAAUUUCGGGAUCCGGAGCUUCGCCCGUUAAACGCGGAGCCCCAUCGGGGAACCGUCUCUUCCCACACUUGCCGAGCGCGUCUCCCGCGGGAAUAAAAACCGGGAUUCUCGGAUGGAAGCGGCGCUGCCUCCUCGCCGCUGGCCGGGCAGGAGCGGGGCAGAGUUUAAAUCCUCAUCCCGGCGGAUUUGAUCCCAAAAUUUCCCCCCCUUCGGGCGUUGCUAAGUGACGGAUUGCCGGGAGCGGGGGGGAAGGAGCAUCCUUGGGAAGAGCCGGGAAUGAUGCAGCGAUGGAUGGAGGGAGGGAGGGAUGCGGGGAUGGAUCGGAGCCCCCUCCCCAAAGGGGCUCUAGGAGCGGCAGGAGGGGGAGGGGGCCGCAGGUCCCUCCCAGCGGAGCCGCAGGGGUGACAUCAGAGCCGGGAUAAUCCGGGAGCGCCGGGAAGGAGCUUGGGAAGGAGCCGGGAAGUGGGAGAGGAGGGAGCGAGGGGAGGGAUGGGAGCGGAUGGGAGGGAUGGGGAGAUGGAAAAGGUUUGGGAAUAAUGGGGAGGGAUGGGAACAAUGGGAGGGAUGGGGAGAUGGAAAAGGAUGGGAGGGAUGGAAAAGGUUUGGGAAUAUUGGGGAGGGAUGGGAACAAUGGGAGGGAUGGGGAGGGAUGGAGAAAUGGAAAAGGAUGGAAGGGAUGGGAAUGGAUGGGAGGGAUGGGGACAAUGGGAGGGAUGGGGAGAUGGAAAAGGAUGGGAGGGAUGGGAACAAUGGGAAGGAUGGGGAGAUGGAAAAGGUUUGGGAAUAAUGGGGAGGGAUGGGAACAAUGGGAGGGAUGGGGAGAUGGAAAAGGUUUGGGAAUAUUGGGGAGGGAUGGGAACAAUGGAAGGGAUGGGGAGGGAUGGGGAGAUGGAAAAGGAUGGGAGGGAUGGGGACGGAUGGGAGGGAUGGGAACAAUGGGAAGGAUGGGGAGAUGGAAAAGGAUGGGAGGGAUGGGGACGGAUGGGAGGGAUGGGAACAAUGGGAGGGAAUGGGGGAUGGAAAAAGUUUGGGAAUAAUGGGGAGAGAUGGGGACAGUGGGAGGGAUGGGAACAA
rnacentral:lncRNA from 1 species